GGGUAAGUGGCCGAGCUUGGUUAAAGGCGUACGACUUAAGAUCGUAUCCAUUUGGUUCGUCGGUUCAAAUCCGACCUUAUCCA
rnacentral:tRNA from 1 species